rnacentral:rRNA from 1 species
ACUCCUACGGAAGGCAGCAGUAAGGAAUAUUGGACAAUGCCCGCAAGGGUGAUCCAGCCAUGCCGCGUGCAGGAAGACGGCCCUAUGGGUUGUAAACUGCUUUUGUACCGGAGAAAACCUCCCCUCGUGAGGGGAGCUGAUAGUAUGGUAAGAAUAAGCAUCGGCUAACUUCGUGCCAGCAGCCGCGGUAAU